rnacentral:sRNA from 1 species
GUACAACCAAAAAAUUAAGCGCUCACAAUUACGUUCGUUUCUUAUCUCGCGCCGCUGCUCUG